rnacentral:pre_miRNA from 1 species
AAUAAAUUUAUUUUUUAUUUUUUACCUUUAAUUUUUGACUCUUUGUCUUAUUUAAAUUUUUUUACGAUUGAUAUUUUUGUUUUUAUUAGAUGAUAAAUUAUGAAUAAUACUUUACGUGUGACUAAUUUUUUUAAAUUUUCUAAAAUUUUUUUAAAUAAGACGGAUGGUCAAACAUUGGACACAGAAACCAGAGAAUUCGUUUUUU